CCCAUCCUUAGUGUGCAUACAGCAAGUCAACUAGUAUGAGGUACACGCGUAGUGCGGAAAGACGCCUGGUGCGUUUCUCCUUUCCCCUUCUCUCUUCUUCCCCCAUCGGAUAGAUCUCGCCGCCGCCAACCCGCUGCUCGCUAGCCCCUUCCCUCUCGGCUCCGGCGUCUUCGCCACACCGGGUAGGGAAAGGAGCCCCUCUCCCUCUCCCUCCUGUAAAUCCGCUAGGAGUCCCGCGGUGGGUUCUCCCCUGGUGGCCGUCUUCGCCGUUGCCGUCGUCGUCGCUGCUGCUGCAGCUCCCUUCGCCGCCGGCGAAGCUCCCAUCAAGGUAUGUCUAAAUAAAAUAAAUCUGCUCCCCCGUAGCUCGCCUUCUUGUUCUUCCACCUCCACCCUGCCUUCCUCGCGUCGCCUCCCAGAUCUGCGCUCCCCCGUCCUGUAUCCACCUUUUCUCCUCCCAGAUCCGUGCUCCCCCAACCCGUAUCCGCCUCUUCUCGCCUCCGCCUCCACCUCUUCCUGGCAGCCAUCACUCUUGCACCAGACAGCUCUUUUGGCGGUGUUUCCGCGACGUUUUCGCCCCCACCUAGGGCCCGACUUGGAGCUUCAUCCUCUACCCCCGGCGACGACAUCAACCUCAACUUCGGUCGCUCGGCGCAUGCUUUCUCACCGGCUCCGUCGCCCCACCUUCAACCGACGCUUGGCGUGGCCUUCCAUCUGGGUGUAUAUGCCUUCGGCGCCUCUACGACCCUCCGCCGGCGAAUUCGUCGUCGUCAAAGUCUCCGAUGUAGCUGCUGUUCUUAUCCGGUCUUUGGACCUAGUUGUAAUUCGAUUUUCCUUCGAGGACCUAUCUGUAAUAUGGCUGCUUAAUAUAUAAUAUAUGCGGUUGUUAAAAAAAAAC
rnacentral:lncRNA from 1 species